ACGUUGAUCUAAGCUGUUUGCCUUGAUUUUCUGUGAGGGAUACUGAACAAUGGGCCACAGUUCAAUUCAUGAAGCUAUGAUCUAGGUAGAGAACCGCAGUGAGUGGACUGUCUCUGAGAAGGAGCAAUGACUGUGCAGCUAAUAAUCUCGUAGACUGGGACAUCAUUAUUAGAACUAUAGAAGAAAAAACUGGAAGGAGUUCAGAGAAACAGCACAAGGAUGAUUACGGGCUCAGUGUGGUUGAUUUAUGAGAAUAAAUUAACAAGCCAAACUUGUCUCA
rnacentral:lncRNA from 1 species